GAAAGGAAGGAAAAAACAUAGGUGUGUGUGGUGAUCAGUCCCUUAACCCUACUCAAGAGGACAGGACUUUGAGGCAAUCCUAAGGUACAUAGCAAGACUCAAAGACAUAAAAGCUAGGCGUGGCUUAGUAGCAGAAGUGGUUGGAGGCCUCUAGCAAGCACAAGGCCUUGGCUUUGAUCUUCAGCAGUGCCCAAAACCUACACAGGAAUGAAGCUCUGACGUACCUAGUGUGUGAAUGAACACUCCCUUCAGCUUCAUACCUGAAUGACCUACAUCUGUUUGGAUUGUAUAUUCUAUUUGCAUUUAUGCUCUGAUUCAUAGCAACUUCUCACAGAAUGGAUUUGCCUUGAACAAACUAAAUAAAAAGAUACUAAAAGAGAAAAAGGAUGAAAUAAAAUUUAUCAUGGAGAAGUAUCUGAAACCUGCACACAAUUUUUGUUUGUUUGUUUGUUUGUUUGUUUUUCAAGACAGGGUUUCUCUGUGUAGUCCUGGCUAACCUGGAUCUUGCUUUGUAGACCAGAGAUCCACCUACCUUUGCCUCUCGAAUGCUGGGAUUAAAGGCAUGCACCGCCAUGAGCACACACUAUAACAGAGCCUCAGCAUACAUGCAAUAGAAGAAUGCACCCAUCCACACCCACUCAAAUUAUCAAUAAUAAGAACUUGGGCUGCUGAGAUGGCUCGAGGUGAGGUGAUGGAUAAAGGUGCCUUCCAGAACUAAUAGGAAGGAAAGAGAGAAGUGAUUCCCACAAGUUGUUCUCUGAACUCUACAUGGAAACUGGCAUCGCAUGCAUGCAUGCAUGUAUGUUUAAGACUACUCAUACAACAAAGCCUAUAGAAAUUUUUAAAAAUUGAAGGUGGAGUUAGAAGCCAAGAAGAAAACAAAAGAACAGAGAAAAUACUUGGAAACUAACUUCAAAAUAACUUACAGAGAACUUAAAAUGGUGAACCAGAAAGAAGGUAUGAGGAGAAAUUAUAAAAAUACUUUGAAGUGACCAAAAUGAACACCCAGCACAUUACAUCGAGGUGGUCAAAGCUAAGUGAGUAUGUAAGCUAUCCAAUCCUUAUAUUAGGAAGGAAAGCUACGUGUGCUCAGGCUGGUGUGACAGCUCAGUAGGUAAAAGGGUGCUUGCCACUAGGCCUGACAACCUGAGUUCCGUCCCUGGAACCCACACAGUGAAAGGAGAGGACCAUCUCCCAAAACUUGUCUUCUAACCUGUACAUGAGCACCAUGGUAAAUAUGCACUCAUGCGCACACACAUACACACACGAAUUUAAAGAAAAAAAGAAAAGUUAUCUACACAGCCAGACCCUGCCUCAGAACUGAGUUCAGAUCCCCAGAACCCAUGUAAAGCUAGAUGUGGCUGCCUGACCCCAUAUUCCUAUGGGCUGGUGGGAGGUAGCGACACAAUAGUUGGAGGAAACUCACAGGCCAGCUAGCCUGGCAUACCAGCUGUGAACACCAAUAGAUCCUGUCUCAAAUAAAAGGGAAGGUUAAGACUGACACCAGAGGUUCCCCAACCUCCCUCCAUCACUCCCUCUACAUACACACACACACACACUGGUUAUGUAGACACACAAAGAUAUAUUUUUUAAAGAUUUAUUUAUUAUUAUAUGUGAAUACACAGUAGCUGACCUCAGACACAACAGAAGAGGGCAUCAGAUCUCAUUAUGGGUGGUUGUGAGCCACCAUGUGGUUGCUGGGAUUUGAACUCAGGACCUUCAGAAGAGCAGUCAGUGCUCUUACCUACUGAGCCAUCUCACCAGCCCACAAAGAUAUUUUUAAAGGCCUCAAGUUGAUAAUCUAACUUGCCACAGCAAGGAACUAGAAGCUAAACCCAAAACACUUAGAAGAAAACAAAGGCAACUACUCACAAUACACAACAACUAUUACUAUAGAACCCGGAGAGAUGAAAAUAAUAAAUCUAUGCACCAAGUGUCUGUUACUUUUAGCUUUGUUUUAGCCUUUUUUACAUAUUUAUUUUGUGAAUGUUGACAUGCGCCAUGACACACAUAUGCAGAACUACUUGCAGGAGUCAGUUCAUUCUUUCCACUGUGGGUUCCAGGGAUGUAACUCAAGUAGCUAAGCUUAACUGCAAGUCCUUUUACCACACUAGAGCUCUGGGCAGCCCAUUGUUUUCUUUUGUUUUGAGAUACUGCCUGUGGAGGUGGACCAGCAGAUUAGGGAACUUGCUGGCAAACCUGCCUACCCGAGUUUAAUCUCAGGAACCCACAUAGUGGAAGGAGAGAACCAACUCCAGCAAGUUGUCCUCUGACAGCUACCUGUACACACUGAUCCACUCCACACACUAAAUAAAUGUAAAAGAAUAAUAAUUUUAAAAAUCAGUUAAGCUGGCAUAGUAAUGCAUACCUUUAAUCCCAACACUCCAGAGCUAGAGGCAGAGGCAGGCAGAUCUUGGUGAGUUCAAGGCCAGCCUUGUCUAUAAAACCAGUUCCAUGUCAGCAAGGGUGAUACAAUGAGACCGUGUCUCAAAAAAACAAAACCAGUUAACCAAAAGAACAGUUGAAUAUUGACAAGCAAAGGAGUAUACUUCUGGAUGCAUAAGCAUAUUACAAAAUGUACAUUAAUAUUUUGGCUUUUAAAUUUUUUCACAGUAUAUAGUAUGUAUUAUAUAAGUAUCUUCAUACAACUAUAAAAUAUAUAUUGAUUAUAUUCUACCCCAUAAUUCUUUACCCUCCUUUCCCCCAUAUUCGUCCCCUUUGUUUCCCUACACAGCUUCACUUCUACUCCAUGUCUUAUAUAUAUAUACAUAAUUUUAUGUAUCUAUGUAAAACCUAGGGACUAUACAUGAGAAAAAAACAUUUGUCAUUCUGAGACUGGCUUAAUUUACUUGAUAAGACUACCCCUGGAUGCAUCCAUUUUCCUACAAAUGACAACUGUUUUUAUAACAUGUAUUAUAUGUGCUUAUUUGUGUGCAUGUGUGUUCAAGCAUGCAUAUGUGCCCCACAACAUGUCUGUUGAAGUCAGGACAACUUACAGAAGUUACUCUCUCUUUCCACUAUCUGAUUGGCAGCAAGUGCCUUUACCCACUGAGCCAUCUCCUGGCCAUCUUUCUUUAAGACUGAUAAAGAUUCCAUUGUGAAACUGGCCAGCUGGCUCAGAGGUCAAACGUACUUGUCACCAAACCUGAUACCCUGAGGUCUAUACCUGGAACCUACUUGUAUAUGUCAAUCAGUGACACAUGCCUCCCUCAUCCCCCAACAAAAUAAGUACAAAAAAAGGAUUGUAUUUUGUGUAUAUAGCAUAUUUUGUCCAUCCCUGUUGUUAGAUACCCAGAUUGUUUCUAUAACGAGCUAUUAUGAAUGGUGCUACAAUAAAUACUGGUGUAAAGUAUCAUG
rnacentral:lncRNA from 1 species